ACGAGAAGAUUCAGUGGGAGGAGUCCUGAUGUACCUGCAACAGAACAUCAACUAGCUUGGCUGCGGUAUAAAGAAAGUCUCAUUGGACCGAAGAAAUGGAGGAAAAAUUUGUGGAACAUUGGCAGGAGCACCAGUUCCUAUCUGAUGUUUCCUCUGAACUAUACCGCAACCAGGUGGAGAAAGAGAAGAGUGGAGAGAAAUUGCCAAUUCUCUUGGACAGUCAGGAACUUAGAACAUGGCGAGUGUGAUGAAGAACUUCAAUAAACUUCUUUUUACAAUGGGGGAAAGGAGGAUGCAUAUACAAACCAUAUUGACCAGGUGGAGUGGAUGACACAGACUAUCUUCUUCAUAGUCAUACAAACAAUCAUGAGAUAUCGCAGUACCCUUUGAACAUAAUUAACAUAUACAUGCUUAGGAUUGUCACAUAAAAAAUACAUUGUGCAAUGAUAAUUGUUUUGUAUUAAGUUCAUUUACCAUUGAAUUCAAAGACUGAGUGAGAUGUUCCCAUUUUAUGAGUCCUGUACACUCCUUGUGAGCUUGUAGCUGACACAUAAAGGUGCAAAUGAUGACAAUUUUGAUCCAGAUCAUAU